UGUCCAGGAAUGGGAAUCGAACCCACAGUGUUCCGCUUACCGGGCAGAUGCCAUGUCCACUAGGCUACCCAGGAC
rnacentral:tRNA from 1 species